CCUACGGGAGGCAGCAGUGAGGAAUAUUGGUCAAUGGGCGCGAGCCUGAACCAGCCAAGUAGCGUGAAGGAUGACUGCCCUACGGGUUGUAAACUUCUUUUAUAAAGGAAUAAAGUGAGGCACGUGUGCCUUUUUGUAUGUACUUUAUGAAUAAGGAUCGUCUAACUCCGUGCCAGCAGCCGCGGUAAUACGGAGGAUCCGAGCGUUGUCCGGAUUUAUUGGGUGUAACGGGCGCGUAGAUGGGUUGUUAAGUCAGUUGUGAAAGAUUGCGGCUCAACCGUAAAAUUGCAAUUGAUACUGGCAGCCUUGAGUACAGUUGAGGUAGGCGGAAUUCGUGGUGUAGCGGUGAAAUGCUUAGAGAUCACGAAGAACUCCGAUUGCGAAGGCAGCUUACUAAACUGCCACUGACAUUGAUGCUCGAAAGUGUGGGUAUCAAACAGGAUUAGGUACCCCUGUAGUC
rnacentral:rRNA from 1 species